AAAAUAUUUAGUAGUUUCGUAUGCUACUAUGUGUAUUAUGUCUACAGAACGAAAACGGAUCCAGGCCGAAAUAACGGCGAAGUUAAACGAGCGAAAUCCAAAUCAAUUAGGCAAAUGAAGUGAAUGAAUAAAAAAAGUGAAAUAUUCCGAAACACCGGCAGUUUUUUGAGGGAUUGCAAAAUAUUGCACAAUUUACAGGACGCAAAAAUCAGUCGGCUAGAAAAAUAAAAAAUAUUAAAACACGAGGUACAUUCGCAAUAAAUGUUUUAAAUAUUUUUUAACAAUAAAGAUAAUUGCGAUACCUAUAUUGUA